UUUUGUUUCCCCAGGUCCUCCUGCUCCACCACAGGCCAUCUCCCUGGGCCUCAUCCAGACAGCUGGACACUGAGCACAGCUCUGUUGUCCUCUUCCCUGGGCUGAGUGGACUCAGAGGUGCUGGGGACUGCAUGGCCGCCGGACGAGGCGGGGGCUUUCCAACCCAACACCACCGAGCCUGCCUCUUCCUGCCCUGGAUGCUAUGUCUUCCAUAGAGCCGCUUUUCCAACACAGCAGGUAUGAAGUAUCCACCGGCCAUCUGAAAAUAAUGCAGUAACUAAGAAAAACAGUGGCGAGAGGAAGGAGUGUCGAUGCCCCAAAUGGAUCAUCUUCCAGAGCACGUCUACACCGAGAUCAAGAAUGAAAAGGUGGGAGCAGAUUUAAGGCUCUUGGGCAGCUCUGCGGCCUGCUGUGUUGAGUGUCCUGGUGAGCAAAUCUCUCAGGUCUGGGUGGUCAGGCUGGC
rnacentral:lncRNA from 1 species